rnacentral:tRNA from 1 species
GCCGGCGUAGCUCAGUGGCUGAGCAUCAGCCUAUGAACCAGGAGGUCAGGGUUUGAUUCCCGGUGAGGGCA